GAAAUAAACCUGAUGGGUUGCUGCUGGCUCUCUCGGGAGCAUGUGCACACUUGUCAUCUUUAUAUCUCCACCUGUGCACCUUUUGUAGAUCUGGAUAUCUUUCUGAAUGCCUGGCAUUCGGGUUUGAGGAUUGACUUCUGUCUUUUCCUUACAUUUCCAGGCCUAUGUUUUCUUCACAUACACCAUUUAUGUUAUAGAAUGUAAUGAAAGGGCCUUUGUGCCUACAAACCUUAUACAACUUUCAGCAACGGAUCUCUUGGCUCU
rnacentral:misc_RNA from 1 species